rnacentral:rRNA from 1 species
CUUGAACGCUGACGGCAGGCCUAACACAUGCAAGUCGCGCGUGAAAGUCCUUCGGGAAGAGUACAGCGGCGGACCGGUGAGUAACGCGUAGGAAACUACCUGAUAGUGGGGGAUAACGUCGCGAAAGGGGCGUUAAUACCACAUACGUUCUGAGGCAGAAAGCAUGGGUUCCCCAGCUCUUGCGCUCUCAGAUGAGCCUGCGUCCGAUUAGCUCGUUGGUGGGGUAAAGGACUACCAAGGCGACGAUCGGUAACUGGUCUGAGAGUGAUGAUCAGUCACACUGGAACUGAGACACGGUCCAGACUGCUACGGGAGGCAGCAGUGGGGAAUAUUGGACAAUGGGGGCAACCCUGAUCCAGCCAUGCCGCGUGUGUGAAGAAGGCCUUCGGGUUGUAAAGCACUUUAAGCGGGGAGGAAGGCUCGGCAGCUAAUACCUGUCGGGAUUGACGUUACCCGCAGAAUAAGCACCGGCAAACUUCGUGCCAGCCGCCGCGGUAA